UCUAAAUCCAAACAUUGUUAAUUGAGCAUAUAUAUAUUUAUAUAUGUAUGUAUUGUCAUUCAUUGUAGUGUAUAUAAUAAUAUAAACCCUACACAAACACCCAAUGCGCGCAGAAAUUAUUGAGCAGUUGCAACAGUGCCAUUUAGACCAUCCAUAUGGAAAAUUCUUUGGUAAAUGUACGGAUCUGAAGAUAAAGUUGGAUCGCUGUUUCAGGUAGGAAAAAACUUUGAAGCGAAAGGAAAAUUUUGAAAGGAGUAAGGAGUUCAAGCAAAGGCCAGAUGCUUUUAGGAAAGAAAAUAAUGCUGCAAGCAGCAACCAGUAGGAGAAUUUUAGCCCAUCUUAGAAGGUCCAAACUCAAGUGCCAAAUUGUUAGAACAACACAGAAAUUUAGAGGUUCCUUGUGAUUGAAGUGCGAUUAGCGCUUUCCUUCCUUGAGCCAGGAUACGUUCAAAUCUACCAUGAAGAAUAUAGAUUUUGGCUAUUCUUAUUGUAGACUGUUUUCUCUGUUCCUCAUUGCGUUAAUUGUAUUCUAGCAAACACAAAAGUACUAUAAUAAAAGAGAG